rnacentral:lncRNA from 1 species
UUAUAAUAAAUUUAGGACAUAAUUUUAUACUUAAUAUAUUGAUUUGAUCAAUGAAAGAAUAUUUAUUUUUCAUUCAAGUGUGAUGUAUCUUUGAAUCAUCCAUGGAAUUAGUCUCGAUAUAUAUUCUCAAGGUAUUAAGAAUUAGAGAUAUGUAUUUAAUUUCUAAAUACUCCCGAUCAUAGGAUCAUCAUGAGGAUGGUGAUCGAUCUGGAUAAACUGACGCAC